GAGCCUUUGAAGCCGGAGCGCCAGCUUCGGUGGAGGCAUUGGUGGGAUACUACCCUGGCUGUAUUGAAAUUCUAACCCGCGCCCCUGAUCGGGGCGGGAGACAGUGUCAGGCGGGCAGUUUGACUGGGGCGGUCGCCUCCUAAAAAGUAACGGAGGCGCCCAAAGGUUCCCUCAGAAUGGUUGGAAAUCAUUCGCAGAGUGUAAAGGCACAAGGGAGCUUGACUGCGAGACCUACAAGUCGAGCAGGGACGAAAGUCGGGCUUAGUGAUCCGGUGGUUCCGCAUGGAAGGGCCAUCGCUCAACGGAUAAAAGCUACCCCGGGGAUAACAGGCUUAUCUCCCCCAAGAGUCCACAUCGACGGGGAGGUUUGGCACCUCGAUGUCGGCUCAUCGCAUCCUGGGGCUGUAGUCGGUCCCAAGGGUUGGGCUGUUCGCCCAUUAAAGCGGUACGCGAGCUGGGUUCAGAACGUCGUGAGACAGUUCGGUCCCUAUCCGUCGUGGGCGCAGGAAAUUUGAGAGGAGCUGUCCUUAGUACGAGAGGACCGGGAUGGACGCACCGCUGGUGUACCAGUUGUCUUGCCAAAGGCAUCGCUGGGUAGCUAUGUGCGGAAGGGAUAAGUGCUGAAAGCAUCUAAGCAUGAAGCCCCCCUCGAGAUGAGAUUUCCCAUAGCGUCAAGCUAGUAAGAUCCCUGAAAGAUGAUCAGGUUGAUAGGUCUGAGGUGGAAGCGUGGUGACACGUGGAGCUGACAGAUACUAAUAGAUCGAGGACUUAACCAC
rnacentral:rRNA from 1 species